ACGAACGCUGGCGGCGUGCUUAACACAUGCAAGUCGAACGGAAAGGCCCUGCUUGCAGGGUACUCGAGUGGCGAACGGGUGAGUAACACGUGGGUGAUCUGCCCUGCACUUCGGGAUAAGCCUGGGAAACUGGGUCUAAUACCGGAUAUGACCUUCCAUGUAGUGUGGGGGGUGGAAAGAUUUAUCGGUGUGGGAUGAGCCCGCGGCCUAUCAGCUUGUUGGUGGGGUAAUGGCCUACCAAGGCGUCGACGGGUAGCCGGCCUGAGAGGGUGGACGGCCACAUUGGGACUGAGAUACGGCCCAGACUCCUACGGGAGGCAGCAGUGGGGAAUAUUGCACAAUGGGCGGAAGCCUUAUGCAGCGACGCCGCGUGGGGGAUGACGGCCUUCGGGUUGUAAACCUCUUUCGACAGGGACGAAGUUUCGGUGACGGUACCUGUAUAAGAAGCACCGGCUAACUACGUG
rnacentral:rRNA from 1 species